UGGCUAAGCUGCAAAACGAGAGGGCCCUGGUGGAAGUUUUGGCCGAGGGGCACUCCUUCAGCAGAGGGGCCCUGGGACCUUUUGGGUUCAGGGGAGGAGGGACAUCCCUGACCGAAGCCUCGGCUUGGUGCUGACGGUGGAUCCGGGGGGAACACGCUUGGGACAAAAAAAUGGAACCUUAAAAGCUAAAGAGGGUAUUUAGGGGAUAGAAGGAAGAAAAGAAUGAACUCUGUGAAAUGGAGAUUAAUUUAAUUUAUUUUCCCUGGGAUCCGGGUCUGGGUGGACCCGGACCAGGGAGAACGGUGAUGGAGGCGGCAUCCACCCUAUGCCCUCCCUCUCUCCAGUGUCUCCAGUUAUAAUGGUAACUGGGAGGCCUAAGCUUCUGAGAUGCUCAGUUCUCAUUGUGUCACAGCUCUGUGAAACAGGUAGAACCCUACCCAAAAUGGCAAAGGUAAAUGAGAAACUUGUCAAUAUCUUCUCUCCCUCCAGAUUAAGAACGUGUGAGUGGGUGGGUGGUAGAGGAUCAUUCAACAGUGCAAAUCAAGCUUUCUCUUGUCUCUGCCCGGUUGAGAGACUUUGGAAUUCCAUGUUGGCAGCUCCCAAGCUUCGUUAAGGAAAUGCCCAGAGGUGGGGUGGGAUCAUCCGCGAGGGGAGACCUGGAUGACUGUCUGCAGAACAAACCCAGGGCAAACAGAUGGACGACGGGGGGUAAGGGGAGGCACAAGUGGGUGGAGGACACACAGAGAGUGGAGUCGGCCGCUACUUUCAGUCCUUGUGGGAAGAGUGGCGACUUCUCUAUCAAGAUUCCUUCUCGGUCUGAUAGGUGCAAGACUGUGAUGCAAGUCUGUUGCCUCUCUGGAAAAAAGGACUCUGUCACUAGAAACAUUUGUCACCUCUAAUGAUGAACAGGCUCUUGGAUCUGGGCUCACAGAGAGGAGGCCCCCGUGUCUCUGUGCCACGUGGACCCAGCUCAGUCGGGCGGAUAUGGAGGCACAGGGAGAAGGUCAUCUCGGGUUUGAGAUCGAUGUUUGGCUGUGGGAGCCCCCGGAAGCCCGGCGCAGAGCCAGAGGAAGAUUCCAGCCGAAUCCACUGCACCUCGCCUUCGGUCCAUCUCCGCCGGACGAUCACCCUUGCCACAGCCAGCCUGGGGCCGGCGAGCCCUGAGGCACAGCUGACUGACUGCUUCCUGGCAGCUUUCCGCUCACCCUGGCUUCCGGCCCUCAGAGUAGUGGUGGCUGGAUUUUUCCAUCAUCGACCUGAGCCUGUUCUUGAUCUCUUCCAGGCUCUCGUGUGGGAACACACACAGCCCUCCGCCAGGACGGCACCGCUCUCUGCUCUCCCUCGCCCAGGGCUGGACCGACCCCAUUUUGUUGGACGCGGGUCGUGCAACUUUGUCCACCUGGGGAAAACCCCUCUUAGGUGGCCCUCCACGUAAUUCAGGCUUCCUGUGUCACUCCCCACCCCCCGGUUAGCCGGUGGUAUUGCUUACAGGCCAGAAGUCAAAUGUUUUAUGUGGUCUCUCGGAUGCCAUGGCCACCCAGGUGACUUCGAUUUCCAGAUGUGCCUUAGUCCUUAAUGUUGCAGAGGCCAGAGUUGUCCUCUGUGUCUCCCAGAUGUAACCGGUGCCUAAUAGGUUGCCCCUGUGCCUCUUAGAGGACCCCUCCCCUCUAAUCCAGUUUCUAGAAGCCGGGGGGCAGGGAGCAGCCCAGUGACAUCACUUCUCUGGGCUGCGGAGCUUGGUCUUGCCCCAUUUAAAGCUUCCCAAAGGUGCGAGGCUCCAGGCUUUCCCUCAAGGCCCCUCCUCUUCCUCAUCUGUCUGCUCUUACGGCGGAUCUGGAUCUGAUCUGCGGUGUCACAGGCCCAGAGUGGUGUCUCGGGAUGAGGGGAGGAUGGGGAAGGACGGAUGGGGCGAACAGACUGCUGCCUCCUGUUUCCACCAUCGCUGCCCAGUGCGGGGCUAAUUGCUAAUCUGCUUUUCUUAAUAAAGUUUGGUUUGUAUGGCUCA